UCUGAGCUAAUCCUGCCGGGAAGCGCUACCCUCCAUUGUCUUUGUUUACUUGAGCCAACCACACUUUUAAUAACUUCACACAACUAGCAGCAGCCACUUGUAGUUCAAAAUUACCCCCCCCCCUAGAAUUGUUGAUGUGAGUUGUUCUCGUGGAUCCGUCCAUUGUUUAAAUCUGGUGCAGCUUCAGUGCUGUACAACAGGAAGUGGUUAAACUACUGUACAGUUGUUACAGCGACAUCCUCUGUGUCACACGAACAACCUCAUUUCACCAGCCAACACCUUUCAGACGAGGGGCUGAAAAAUCCUAGAAUCAACACACUCUUUCAGGCAGUAGUGAGUGUGGGCAGUGUGUUGUUGGACCAGAGGUGAAGUGUCAACUGGCAGCUCUCUGCCAAGCUGUUGGCUGGAGAAGUACAUUAACAGCAGACUGUGAGUCUCACAGUGGAGCCUGUGGAUGUGGAGAUCUGCAGCAGAGGAUCCCUAUGGACGCUCUGGCCUUUCUGUUUUUUCCCCUCUUGCUCCUCCCCUAC